UUUUCCAAUACCUUUACGUGUAUUUGAUAUCAUUACAGCUGUUUGACAACUUAACUUUUUCCUAUAUUUUUUUUGGUAUUUACAAUUCAGAGAGUACACCUUUUGUUUCCACCGUCUUCUUCCUAUUUGUGUUCUUGCUCUCCAGAUCUGUUUGUGUUCUUGCUGCAAGUAUGUUUCUUCUUCAACUAAUUCUGCACAUAUCUUCUUCUUUUUCCUUAAUUCUUUUCUUUUUGGGUUUUCCCCGUCCUUUUUAGUUUUGCUAUCCAAUGGCUGUAGAAUCCAUUCAUCUUCAACCUCAAACUUCAUUGUAUCUCGCUUUAUCUCUCUUUCCCCCCCAUUAGAAGCUUCAUCCACUUGCAACAAUUUCCCAUUGUUGAUCUUCUCUUUUGUAAAGCCUAAAUGCUUCUCUAUCUCAGUCCGAUACUGACACUGAUCUGGUUGAUAAGCCUAAUUAAGAAGAAAUUUUUUUUGGGAACGAGAUUCAAGUUUUUGCACCAUCUGCAGAAAGGCUUCAAUUAUUAGGUUUUAACUCAGGUAGUCUUCUUCAGUUUGAUUCCUGUUUAUUUUUCUUUUUAUGCUGUAACCCUACCCCUAUCAUCAAUUUCUCAUUCUUGGUCUUCGUUCUGCAUAGGAUUUUGAAAGAAGGAUUAUUGUUUGCUGUAGCCUGUAAGCAUUUGCUGCCUUUAUUUCAACAGAUAUAAAACUUCAACGAUGUGAUAAAUUUUUUCUCUUUUGUACUUAGAUUUUUCUCCCGCUCAUUGCUGCUAUAAGUUUUAACUCUGUCUCCGCGUCUUUUGUUCUUGGGGGUGGUCCUAUUAAAUUCAUAAGUUUAGGAAGAAAGCUUAUCAAAUAGAGAUUUUUUCUUCGACCAUAUUUUAAUUGUUAAUACGAUAUAUAAGGACUGCUAAAUUCAAAGGCUAUCAUUAAUUCAAGUUCUACCCCUGAAGUAGUUCAAAUUCAUGUCAGAAAUCAUUAAGUGGAUAGUAUAGUCAAUUGGGCUCUAAGUAUUCUAUAGAGUCCCAACUUCUUGACGAGUCAAUCUUUUAAAAUCAUUUAUCGGAUCUGACUAGCAACACACAAAGUUAUUUAUUUGAUUUAUGUACUACUGUAGGUUAUAGCUGAAGAUUUGACAACAUAAAUUCGCAUUUUCAUUAUUGUGGGAGGGGGUGUAGGACGACAAUAUUAUGGCGUUGCCAUCAAUGGUUGUAUCUACUGAUAGUAUGAGAAAGUUGAUAAUUUAUUUCAAUGUUUUAAUGGAUCUUUAGUAAUUUACUGAUCCUAUAUCGCAUUUAGACACAUGUUAGCAUUGAUUUGAAGUAGGUGGUUGAUCAAAGCUUUUCAUCUUCAGAAGCUCUGUCGUUUUUAAUUUGAAAUUUUUUAUUAUAAAGAAGCUGAUUUUUAGUUCGCUUAUAAAGAAUACCUACGUGGCUUCUACUCCUGCACCCACCUCACAGUCUCCUCAUUCUUAUCGCCUUCCUAAGUUUGCUCCUCUCUCUUUCAUCGUAGAUAUGAGAUUUCUUCUCUUUGUGCUCAAUCCAAGUUCUACUUACUUUGAUUUUAGCUUAGUUGAUUUUGUAGGUUUGUUUUUGCUGCUAUAGAGUAAGUUGGAGUGUUGUUCAAUUUGUGAGAAACAUUAUGCAGCGGAAAAAGUCAGAAAGGACCAAGAUUGAUUGCUCAAUGGACAUGUCUCUCUAGAUAAUCGGGAAGAAAGCUUUAGCCUCUUUGCUUUGCUGUUCGAGUCAUUUGGUGUGCAGUAAAGCUAUGUGCUGCUAAUUGCUUUUUACUAUUAUUUCUAUAUGUUGGUAUAAUACUGGUUCGGCCAACGACCACAUUUAAUUUUUUAUGCAUCCCUGGUCUUUUCCAUCC